rfam:Xanthomonas fragariae strain PD5205 genome assembly, chromosome: 1
AUGUACCACGCGUACAUUGCGGUUCCCCCGCGCUGUCCGCACCCACCUGGCGACUGCUCGCUACGUUUUGUUAGCC